GGCGCCGAGUGAUGCAAUCACGUAACCGACAGUUUCGAAUCUGGCCAAUGAUGUUCCUCGAUCAUCCAGCCGUGUUUGCACUGUCGGAGUCCCCGUCGCUCUCGCUGCGAGAAACGAAUGUAUCCGGCCGUGCUCCCGAAACUUUUGAGGAAUUCCAACAUUUUUAAGCGAUUCAUCGAGUGGAUGACUGCGUGCUGCAGCUGUGCUUUUCAUCUCCUGCGUGCGUACAAAACUGGAAUGCUGGAGGACUUCAGCUCAAGAAUGUCAUGCUGGACCACUACCAGAGCGUGCUUAAAGGAAUCAAUGCCUUGAUGAAGGUAUCACCGAAGUGCCCACCACCAGCUCUCUGCCUCAGAGCCAGUGAUGAUGGUCAAGAUUUUUCUAGCGGAUCUUGUCAUGUCAUGCUGAAAACUAAUCUACCCCGCACUUCGGUUACAACACUAUGACCUAUCGCGCUGUGAUGAUUGCUUGAAAGGAAUACAGUCUGG